ensembl:lncRNA
CACGGACAGCAGCAGCAGCCCUCCGAAGACCUCGAACGGCCCCUCAAGGCCUCUUUUGAGUCCCUGCGUUAAAAGAUGCUUUUAAUUGGCUUUGGACUAGUUUUACGCGUAAGUGUGUGAAAGCAGGUGGCUCGGCGGGAAAAGAUUUGAGAUUACGGCAUCAUUAUCUGGCUAAAGAGGUCAGGAGGUUCAACAUCUCUGCAGGAACUCGGCAGAUUAACAAACUGACGGACCGACCAUAUACUCCAUUUACUACUACUACUGCUUCAAGCACAGUGCUAGUACUGUGUACUACUACUGUUCUUCUAAAUUAACGGGGGAUUAUCAUCAUCGUCUUCAUCCUCACACCAGUUGGCCCGUACUGCACACCAGCACCUCCGUCUUAGAUGGCGUCUCCUCGCCGUCCGUCAGUCACGCCCGUCAGGCCGGAGGCCGUGAACGCGCCAGCGCCCGAGCUGUCAGUCCCCUUGACCUCUGACCCCGAAUAUGUCACCCAUCAUCAAAG